rnacentral:rRNA from 1 species
AUUGAACGCUGGCGGCAUGCUUUACACAUGCAAGUCGAACGGUAACAGGCCUUCGGGUGCUGACGAGUGGCGAACGGGUGAGUAAUGCAUCGGAACGUACCCAGAGGUGGGGGAUAACGCAGCGAAAGCUGUGCUAAUACCGCAUGUGAUCUGAGGAUGAAAGCGGGGGACCGAGCAGCAAUGUUUGGCCUCGCGCCUUUGGAGCGGCCGAUGUCGGAUUAGCUAGUUGGUGGGGUAAAGGCCUACCAAGGCGACGAUCCGUAGCUGGUCUGAGAGGACGACCAGCCACACUGGGACUGAGACACGGCACAGACUCCUACGGGAGGCAGCAGUGGGGAAUUUUGGACAAUGGGCGCAAGCCUGAUCCAGCAAUGCCGCGUGCGGGAAGAAGGCCUUCGGGUUGUAAACCGCUUUUGGCAGGAACGAAACGGUGUCCGCUAAUACCGGGCGCUAAUGACGGUACCUGCAGAAUAAGCACCGGCUAACUACGUG